GGCCAGGGGACCGGAAAAGCUGGCGCUGGAAUCGGGAGCGGGAGCGGCUGCCCCCGCGCGGGCGGCGAGGCGGUGGGUGUCCGACCGCAGACGACCCCAGGGAUGGGCCAGCGGCUGUGAGGGGAGCGCCUGGACCACGCUGUAGUGACAAUGUUUCGGAAAGGCAAAAAGCGGCACAGUAGUAGCAGCUCCCAAAGUAGCGAGAUCAGUACUAAGAGCAAGUCUGUGGACUCCAGCCUUGGGGGCCUUUCUCGGUCCAGCACGGUGGCCAGCCUGGACACGGACUCCACCAGGAGCUCAGGACAAAGCAACAACAACUCAGACACCUGUGCGGAAUUCCGAAUAAGAUACGUCGGUGCCAUUGAGAAACUGAAACUCUCUGAAGGAAAACGUCUGGAAGGGCCACUGGACCUGAUAAAUUAUAUAGACGUUGCCCAGCAAGAUGGGAAGCUGCCUUUCGUUCCCCUGGAGGAAGAAGUGAUUAUGGGCGUUUCCAAGUACGGCAUCAAAGUAUCCACACCCGAUCAGUAUGACGUGCUGCACAGGCACGCCCUCUACCUGAUCAUCCGGAUGGUGUGCUACGACGACGGCCUGGGGGCGGGGAAGAGCCUGCUGGCGCUGAAGACCACGGAUGCCAGCAACGAGGAGGUCAGCCUGUGGGUGUACCAGUGCAGUAGCCUGGUGAGGCUCAGUCUCCGUGGUUCUCUCUCGCCAGACAGAGUCGAAAAACCAGAGGCUGCGAGACGCUCUCCACAUGUCUGACCCCGGCAUACGUGCACACGUGGCCGUCAGCCCGCUGUCCGGGCCUCCUGCGGGCGACCGUGUGCGGGAACAAGCACAGGCCAUCUGCAAGGUCCUGUCCACCGCUUUCGACUCCGUGCUGAUGGCCGAGAAGGCGUGAGUCUGCCGAGUGGAUCGGCGUCGCGGGAGGAAGAUCGGCUAUUUUCUGAACUGGUUUUCAAUCUGCAGCGCUGAACUAGCAUGGACGUAUGAAGUGACCCUUGUUCUAGAUGUUCUGUUUUUCUAUUAAAAUGUGUCUUAUUAACAGUGAGA